UACGAAUACGGUUCCCACGCUGGAACGCCGGGAACCGGAAACGCUCCGGCGCCGUAGGAUGUGGCUGCGGCCGAUUAGGUAGACGGUGGGGUAACGGCCCACCGUGCCGAUAAUCGGUACGGGUUGUGAGAGCAAGAGCCCGGAGACGGAAUCUGAGACAAGAUUCCGGGCCCUACGGGGCGCAGCAGGCGCGAAACCUUUACACUGCACGACAGUGCGAUAAGGGGACCCCGAGUGCGAGGGCAUACAGUCCUCGCUUUUCUGAACGGUAAGGCCGUUCAGGAACAAGAGCUGGGCAAGACCGGUGCCAGCCGCCGCGGUAAUACCGGCAGCUCGAGUGAUGGCCGAUCUUAUUGGGCCUAAAGCGUCCGUAGCCGGCCGGGCAAGUCCGUCGGGAAAUCCACCCGCUCAACGGGUGGGCGCCCGGCGGAAACUGCUCGGCUUGGGACAGGAAGACCCGAGGGGUACGUCCGGGGUAGGAGUGAAAUCCCGUAAUCCUGGACGGACCGCCGAUGGCGAAAGCACCUCGGGAGGACUGAUCCGACGGUGAGGGACGAAAGCUGGGGUCUCGAACCGGAUUAGAUACCCGGGUAGUCCCAGCCGUAAACGAUGUCUGCUAGGUGUGGCACUGGCUACGAG
rnacentral:rRNA from 1 species